rnacentral:rRNA from 1 species
UGGCGGACGGGUGAGUAACGCGUGGGAACGUGCCCUUCGGUUCGGAAUAACUCAGGGAAACUUGAGCUAAUACCGGAUACGUGCGAGAGCAGAAAGGUUUAUCUGCCGAAGGAUCGGCCCGCGUCUGAUUAGCUAGUUGGUGGGGUAAAGGCCCACCAAGGCGACGAUCCGUAGCUGGUCUGAGAGGAUGAUCAGCCACAUUGGGACUGAGACACGGCCCAAACUCCUACGGGAGGCAGCAGUGGGGAAUCUUGCGCAAUGGGCGAAAGCCUGACGCAGCCAUGCCGCGUGAAUGAUGAAGGUCUUAGGAUUGUAAAAUUCUUUCACCGGGGACGAUAAUGACGGUACCCGGAGAAGAAGCCCCGGCUAACUUCGUGCCAGCAGCCGCGGUAAU